rnacentral:rRNA from 1 species
GACAGAGGGUGCAAACGUUGCUCGGAAUUACUGGGCGUAAAGCGCGUGUAGGUGGAUUGGUGUGUCAGAUGUGAAAGCCCUGGGCUCAACCCAGGAACUGCACCUGAAACUACCAGUCUUGAGUGGUGGAGAGGGAAGUGGAAUUCCUGGUGUAGAGGUGAAAUUCGUAGAUAUCUGGAGGAACACCGGUGGCGAAGGCGGCAUCCUGGACCGACACUGACGCUGAGGAGCGAAAGCCAGGGGAGCAAACGGG